CAUUCGAUUUUGAGGUUAAUUCGCAACAUGGCGGACAUCGUGUGGAUACAGUAGAUUUCUAGAUUUUAAAAUUUACGGUGGAUUUUUAUACGGAAAUUCGCAAGUAAUAAAAAGAGUACUAUUACAUACUAUUUUAAUUUUAUUUAGUAUGAAUAUUCACAUCGACAGAUACUGGAACAGUGAAAAUGAAUUCCUAACAUGAUUUUGCGCCUGAAGAUUAAUGUUUGUUUAUGUAACGCAUAGUAAGCAGUGCUUGUUUAAGCGGUAAACACGCGAUGGAAUAUAAUCGUUCACAUCUAUCGAUAUCAAGUGCGAAACGACGUUUAAACGCUGACAAGAUUUUCAAAUUCUGAAAUAAUUUUGAAUCAUACACGUGGUAUUCAGAUUACACAUAUAUACACAACGGAAACACUUGUUAUUGAUACAAGUUUCUUUCAUUAAGACGCUGAAUGUCAGAAAAAAAUAACUGUACCUGUUGUGGCAGCUUCAACUGAAAAUUAUUAACCCAGAUAAACCUUUUUUUUUUCAAAAUAAUAUCAUUUUCCCUCUACUGGGGGUUUAAAUGGAACGCAUAAUUAAAUUUUUGUACGAUCACCCUUCUGGAAGGUUGCUAGACAUAUCUGGGUUAAGCGUAUGAACGUGCAAUUUUUUAAUUCCGUAUUUCGACUUAUUGCUUUAUAUUAAUAUUAUUUAGGAUUCUUAUUCCUUUUCUACUUCCAGUUAUUUGAUCCGCAAUUUAGUUAAAAAGGAAUAAAUAAAAAUAUAAUUGAUCAAUUUCGUUUUUCUCGCCGUGACAAUAUAACGAGAGUGUAUAUAUAAAUAUAAGCAGUACUGAAGUUAGUGGGUCAUAAAACAAGCAGGAUAAAAUUUAAAUAAAAAAUCGAACAAGAAAAAGGAAAAAAUAGGCGAACAAUUCAUGCAGCGAACAUCAGUUCACCGGAUACUGUCGCAUUAUUAUAGUUCAUUAAUGCAUGGCGCUGUUACGCAAGAUAUUUUGCGAAAUAUCGCCGAGAACAGGUAUCAUGUUGUACGUGAUUAUCUCGUAUGCUGCUCUUGCAUCUACAGCGAAAAAAUCGCGUUGGAACAUCGAAAAAUGAUUUUCAAAGGGAUUUGUUAUUUACCCUGCAAACAAAUAUAAGAAAUAAAAGGAUCAUUGUGUAACACAAUUUCA